rnacentral:tRNA from 1 species
UGUUCUAUGGCCGAACUGGUAAAGGCAUCGCCGAUCACGAGGUUGCGGGUUCGAGUCCUGCUGGAACUA